GGACGAUUAGUGUAGUGGUUAUCAUCUUCGCCUUCCAAGCGAAGGACAGGGGUUCGAUUCUCCUAUCGUUCA
rnacentral:tRNA from 1 species